rnacentral:rRNA from 1 species
GUGAGCAGGAAAGCAGGGGAUCGCAAGACCUUGCGCUGAUUGAGCGGCCGAUAUCAGAUUAGCUAGUUGGUGAGGUAAAGGGCUCACCAAGGCGACGAUCUGUAGCGGGUCUGAGAGGAUGAUCCGCCACACUGGAACUGAGACACGGUCCAGACUCCUACGGGAGGCAGCAGUGGGGAAUUUUGGACAAUGGGGGCAACCCUGAUCCAGCCAUGCCGCGUGAGUGAAGAGGGCCUUCGGGUUGUAAAGCUCUUUCGGCCGGGAAGAAAUCGCAUGGGCUAAUACCCUGUGCGGAUGACGGUACCGGCAUAAGAAGCACCGGCUAACUACGUG